AUUGAACGCUGGCGGCAGGCCUAACACAUGCAAGUCGAGCGAGAGGCGGACGGGGGAGUAUUGUAUGGGGACUGCCCGAUAUCGGGGGAUAACUACUGGAAACGGUAGCUAAUACCGCAUACUCUCGGAUAACACAUAUGGGAUUCGCUAGUGGGUGAGGUAAUGGCGCCCCUGGGCGACGUUCCCUAGCUGGUCUGAGAGGCUGAUCAGCCACCCUGGAACUGAGACACGCCCCAGACUCUUACGGAGGAGGCAGUGGGGAAUAUUCGAAAAUGGGCGAAAGCCUGAGGAAGCCAUGCCGCUUGUAUGAAGAAGGCUCUAGGGUUGUAAAGUACGUUCAGUCGGGAGGCGUUACCGACAGAAGAAGCAACGGCUAACUCCGUGCCAGCAGCCGCGGUAAUAC
rnacentral:rRNA from 1 species